rnacentral:miRNA from 1 species
UCCAUCUUACCCCACAGUACUAAACAUAUAGAUAUAGUAGGGUGGGGGAAGAUGGGACAC